UAAAGAGGUACCUUAAAGGUACAUGUUAGUACUUUUUGAAAGGGUAUGUACAUAUGAUCAAAAAAGUGUAUAUUGAUCAGUAAAUGUGGCUGAUUUGGCAAUCUAUGGUUUAUAGUGACACCUAGUGGUUUGGAUGCAGUAUAUAAAAACAAAACUUUUCAGUUAUCAGUGCCACUGUAGAAAUGCUCUAUUAGCUGUCAGCCAUGAGUAAUUUAUUUACUGAGAUAAAGCAAAUAUUAUUCAGCUGGUCAUGUGAUCCCAAAAUGGCCGUUCUUAUUUCCAUGUAAAAAACAGCUGUUUUGAAUCUUUCUCUCACAUGGGUAUACAUUUACAUACAUUUAUCAAAAGUAGUAUUAGCUGUAGCUUUAUCUGUAAAACCCUUUUUAAUGAGGGGAAAAUGUCGUUAGAAAUAAAGGAGGUUUUCCUUAAGUUAUUUAAACAGUCAGUGUUUAAAGGGUCACUGUUCUCAAUUAGACGAUUUCACUAUUUCGACACCUCAUUUAUGAACUGUUUAACAGAUGGAAAUCUUAGACUGGUGGGAAAUGUUGGGGUAAUGUGCUUCUUUUAGCCUUUGACACAUUAGUGCAUGGGUGCCAGCUCAGUAAGACAUCAGCAGCAGGUUUGAUUUACAUGACAUGUCAAGCUAAGUGUUUAUUUUGAGAUAAUGAUAAUAAUUUUGCAAUAACGCUACAUUAUUACACUUAUAAGACUACUUAGCAAAUAAGUGAAUACAUGAUUUAUUGAUUUAUUUUAUCAUUUAAAAAAUGAAACUGCUGAGUGCAGUAGGAGACAUGAAACUAGCACCAAAUAGGAGACUGGAUGACAGGAACAGUGUAAAAUAUACAGUUUAGCCUUGUUAUACAAAAAUAUGUGACCUGUGACCAGAGGAUGCUGUGACUGACCAAUUAGAAUCAAGUAUUGCUGAGAGCCAAUAAAUAAAUAGAUAUAUGCAGUUCAGAGAUGUAAAAAAUAAAUACCUAUAUGAUUGGCC